AAAUGACUUAGCAGCGUAGUACACAUAGGUUCCUUACCUGGCAACAAAUUUGAAAGCUCUUAACAAAUUGCUUUUCGCAAUAAUGAGAUUAAGCAUUAGCAGGUCUAUAAAAUCCUUAGAUGUCUAUCUGGUAGACCGAGAGGUCCGUGUAAGCCGCUGAACCGCUCUCAUGCUUGGGGUUGUGAACUGCAAUUGUUUACAUGCACUUGGAAUUCCCAGUAAGUGUGAGUCAUUAAGUCGUAUUGAUUACGUCACUGCUCUUUGUACA
rnacentral:ncRNA from 1 species